UGAAAAAAUGACCUAAAAGUGACAAAAAAUGGUGGGAAAUCAAGAAAUAGGUUGGAACCACCAGUAAAUGGCUUGAAAGUGACAGAAAAUGGUGGGAAACCAUCAAGAAAUAGGUUGGAACCAUUAAUAAAUGACCUAAAAGUGACAAAAAAUGGUGGGAAACCAUCAAAACAUGGGUUGGAAGCACCAGUAAAUGGCCUGAAAGUGACAAAAAGUGGUGGGAAACCAUCAAAAAGUAGGUUGAAAGCGUGAAAAAAUGACCUAAAAGUGACAAAAAUGGUGGGAAACCAUCAAGAAAGAGGUUGGAACCAUGAAAAAAUGACCUAAAAGUGACAAAAAAGGGUGGGAAACCAUCAAAAAUAGGUGGAAAGUGUGGAAAAAUGGCCUAAAAGUGACAAAAAAUGAUGGGAAAUCCAAUGGGAAUGGUUUGAAACCCUCAAAAAAUGGUGGGAAAUCAAUGGAAAGGUCUUGAAUCCAUGAAAAGAUGGUGGAAAACCAAUGGAAAGGUCUUGAAACCACCAAAAAAUGGUGGGAACCCAACGGGAAGGUCUUGAAACCAUCAACAAAUGGUGGAAACCCAACAGAAAAGUCUUGAAACCCUCAAAAAAUGGUGGGAAAUCAAUGGGAAGGUCAUGAAACCAUGAAAAAAUGGUGGAAACCCCCAAUGGAGAGAUCCUGAAAUCAUCCAGAAGUGGUGGAAAGCCAAGGGGAAGAUCUUGAAUCCAUGAAAAAAUGGUGGAAAACCAAUGGAAAGGUCUUGAAACCAUCAACAAAAAUGGUGGGAAACCAAUGGGAAUGGUUUGAAACCCUCAAAAAAUGGUGGAAAAUCAAUGGAAAGGUCUUGAAUCCAUGAAAAAAUGGUGGAAAACCAAUGGAAAGGUCUUGAAUCCAUGAAAAAAUGGUGGAAAAUCAAUGGGAAGGUCUUGAAUCCAUGAAAAGAUGGUGGAAAACCAAGCACAAAGGUCUUGAAACCCUCAAAAAAAUGGUGGAAACCCCCAACGGGAAGGUCCUGAAAUCAUCCAAAAGUGGUGGAAACCCAAUGGAAAGGUCUUUAAAUCAUCAAAAAGUGGUGGAAAACCCAAUGGGAAGGUCUUGAAUCCAUGAAAAAAUGGUGGAAAACCAACGGGAAUGGCUUGAAACCCUCAAAAAAUGGUGGGAAACCAAUGGGAAGGUCUUGAAACCCUCAAAAAAUGGUGGGAAACCAAUGGGAAGGUCUUGAAACCAUCCAAAAGUGGCUUAAAAACCACCCAAAACUGCUGGAAAUCCAAUGGGAAAGGUCUUGGAAGCAUCAAAAGGACGGCGGAAACCCAAGGGGAAAGUGUCGGAACCACGGAAAAGUUGACGAGAAACGGCUUCAAACCCAACCCAAAGGGGUGGCAGCUCCAGGGGAAGGCCCUGGAGGUGUCCCAGGAUGGUGGAAUCCCAACAGGAAGGUCCCAGGAUGGUGGAAUCCCAACAAGAAGGUCCUGGGAGCAUCCUGGGAUGGUGGAAUCCCCAGGGGAAGGUCCUGGAGGUGUCCCAGGAUGGUGGAAUCCCAACAGGAAGGUUCUGGAAUGGUGGAAUCACAACAAGAAGGUCCCAGGAUGUUGAAAUCCCAACAGGAAGGUCCUGGGAUUUCAGAAUCCCAACAAGAAGGUCCUGGAGGUGUCCCAGGAUGGUGGAAUCCCAACAGGAAGGUCCUGGAGGUGUCCCAGGAUGGUGGAAUCCCAACAGGAAGGUCCUGGAGGUGUCCUGGGAUUUCAGAAUCCCAACGGGAAGGUCCCAGGAUGGUGGAAUCCCAACAGGAAGGUCCUGGGAUGGUGGAAUCCCAACAGGAAGGUCCUGGGAUGGUGGAAUCCCAACGGGAAGGUCCCAGGAUUGUGGAAUCCCAGCGGGAAGGUCCUGGAGGUGUCCCAGGAUGGUGGAAUCCCAACAGGA